rnacentral:rRNA from 1 species
UACAGAGGGUGCAAGCGUUAAUCGGAAUUACUGGGCGUAAAGCGCACGUAGGUGGUUAGAUAAGUCGGUUGUGAAAGCCCCGGGCUUAACUUGGGAAUCGCAAUCGAGACUGUCUGGCUAGAGUAUGGUAGAGGGAAGCGGAAUUCCACAUGUAGCGGUGAAAUGCGUAGAUAUGUGGAGGAACAUCAGUGGCGAAGGCGGCUUUCUGGACUAAUACUGACACUGAGGUGCGAAAGCGUGGGGAGCAAACAGG